GACGAACGCUGGCGGCGUGCCUAAUACAUGCAAGUCGAACGCAGUGGGGACGGGUGAGUAACACGUGGGUAACCUCCCAUCAGAGGGGAUAACACUUGGAAACAGGUGCUAAACCGAUACUGAUGGAUGGACCCGCGGGGCAUUAGCUAGUUGGUGAGGUAACGGCUCACCAAGGCCGCGAUGCAUAGCCGACCCGGUGGGGGGAUCGUCCACCGGUGGACUUAGACACGGCCCAGACGCCUACGGGCGGCAGCAGUAGGGAAGCUUCGGCAAUGGACGAAAGUCUGACCGAGCAACGCCGCGUGAGUGAAGAAGGUGUUCGGAUCGUAAAACUCUGUUGUUAGAGAAGCGGUAUCUAACCAGAAAGCCACGGCUAACUACGUGCCAGCCGCCGCGGUAAUUC
rnacentral:rRNA from 1 species